rnacentral:rRNA from 1 species
AGGGUUUGAUCAUGGCUCAGAACGUACGCUGGCGGCACGCCUAAUACAUGCAAGUCGAACGAAGUAGCAAUACUUAGUGGCAGACGGGUGAGUAACAUGUAGGUAUCUACCCUUUGGCCUGGAAUAACACGAGGAAACUUGUGCUAAUACCGGAUAAGUCUUUACGGAGAAAGCUUUAUGCACCAUUGGAUGAGCCUGCACUUGAUUAGUUUGUUGGUGGGGUAAUGGCCUACCAAGACAAUGAUCAAUAGCUGAUUUGAGAGGAUGAUCAGCCACAUUGGGACUGAGACACGGCCCAAACUCCUACGGGAGGCAGCAGUAGGGAAUCUUGCACAAUGGAGGAAACUCUGAUGCAGCGAUGCCGCGUGAGUGAAGAAGGCCUUUGGGUUGUAAAGCUCUUUCGUCGGGGAAGAAAAUGACUGUACCCGAAUAAGAAGGUCCGGCUAACUUCGUGCCAGCAGCCGCGGUAAUACGAAGGGACCUAGCGUAGUUCGGAAUUACUGGGCUUAAAGAGUUCGUAGGUGGUUAAAAAAGUUGGUGGUGAAAUCCCAGAGCUUAACUCUGGAACUGCCAUCAAAACUUUUUAGCUAGAGUAUGAUAGAGGAAAGUAGAAUUUCUAGUGUAGAGGUGAAAUUCGUAGAUAUUAGAAAGAAUACCGAUUGCGAAGGCAGCUUUCUGGA